GCAGGUAGGGGCUUAGCUCAAUGGUAGAGCAUCUGCUUUGCGUGCAGAAGGUCCCAGGCUCAGUCCCCAGCAUCUGUA